UGUUGUACCUGCGGUGAUAGGCAGGAUUCCCUUUAAAUGCCUACUUCCGACUAGUAGCAGAGCGCCUUUCAAUUGUUUGGCAUGCAGAUGGUUGUUGGUCGCUGGGAGAACGAUUUUUGUUGAUUUUUAGACGUGUGCCUUAGACGUUUCUUUAUUUUAAGCUGAACGUCUUGUGGAUACUGAAUGAACACCACUACAUGGUGCACUUAAUAGGAGAUACCUUGAGUUUCUUGUACUCGUUAUUUUGGGCUGGAUGAGGGUAAAUGCUGAACGAGCUGCACAAUAUAUUGCACGUGAGGGUUGACGAUCUAUGGAAGUGUGUGGGGAUUAUAGCCCUUCAACGGUGUAUAUGUGUGAUCAGCUAAACGUUGUAAAGGUAUCUACAUUUAACUUUUAUUGUGUCACCUGGAUAGUUAGCAUUUUAAUAUUGAUGGUAAUAAAUUUGUACAUGGUUUUUUUAUUUGAAAUUGUAUUGUUUGUGGUUUUUCUUAUUGUUAAUUGCCCUGUUUUAUAAAGAGGGUUGAAUUGUAUAACCCGGGUUGACAAAUUAUGUCGGGUUGUUUAAUGUUGUUUUCUUUUUUAGAGUUUCUCAGUCCAGCUCAUUUGAUCAUUGUUUUCCCACCUUCAUUUAUUUUUUUGUAUUUUGUUUUGUGAAGUAUUCUUUGGUUUUGUUUUUUGAGUGUUGCCCAUGACUUGUUUUUUUGUAUUUUUAUUUGACAAUUCUGUUGUGCUCUUGCGAGGCGUUGACUUCUAGUCUUGCUCAGUGUGAUUCCCGAAGAGGGGUAUAUUCACUUCCAUAUGCACAAGUGUGGGGUGUCAAGAGUGUCUACAUUUUCUCUUUUACGUAUGAGUCAGUGUGCUGUGUAAGCCGAUUGUAAUUUCUUUUGGGUUUAUUUUAUUCUUUUCUCUUUUUUUUUGUUAUUGUAGUGUUUGGUAUGAUUUUUGGAAGUGUUGUCACCCUCUAGACUGGUGUAUUUCCAGCUCAUAUGAGCAUCGCAUGUCAGCUUGUGAGCAAACUCAGAUACGAACAAUCCAUUGUAUUUAAUAAAGUGAAUUGUAAUUCUG